AUGUGUAGUCUAUGUACUGGGAGGAACAUGUUAAUUUACAGACUAUUUUAUUUGUGCUUCAGAGAAUCCCCCGGACAUUAUGCCUGCACAUAGUACAAUUAGAAUGGUUGACACUGUUGUAACUUACACCAUGAUCACCUCAACACCCCUGACUGUAGCUCCAGAUGUUGACAAAAUGGAAGACAUUUUCUCUGAACAGG